CUGGUGCCAGCAGCCGCGGUAAUUCCAGCUCCAAUAGCGUAUAUUAAAAAUGUUGCAGGUUAAAAAAGUUGGGUUGAAAUUUGGAAUUUGUCCGUGGGUCUCGUCAUCGGGUUUGUACUGUUGAAGGAUCUCUACCUUCUGGAGAACCAUCAUGCUCAUCAA
rnacentral:rRNA from 1 species